rnacentral:tRNA from 3 species
GCCUAAAUGGUGAAAUUGGUAGACACGCUAGACUCAAAAUCUGGUACGGGAAACCGUGUGUCGGUUCGAGUCCGACUUUAGGCACCA